rnacentral:pre_miRNA from 1 species
GACUUCAACUUAAAAAAGUCAUCAACAACAAUAUUGUAUAAAUCAUCAAUAUCUAUAACUUUUAUUUUGGUCAUUUCUUCAUUCGACAAAGUGAUAAUAAAAUUGUUCACAAAUUUUACAUAUCUCUCUUAUACUUUAUAAAACCAUAUAAGAAAUAUGUACAUUUUGUGAACAAUGCUACUAUCACUUUGUCGGAUGAAGAAAUGACAAAAAUAAAAGUUAUAGAUAUCGAUGAGUUACACAACUUUGUUGUUGAUGACUUUUUCAGUUGAAAUC